UGGAUAAAGAACUGGAUAACCCCUUCACGGACUCUGCUGCUUCCUGGAAACCAGACACUGCUGAACCAGCCGUCCUCGUGCCCCAGGAACCGCCAGAGGCUGUGUGCUGCCGCACAAACCAGGGGGGUCCGCGCCGCCACCAUCUUUAAUAAACUGUUAAAGUUUUA